rnacentral:rRNA from 1 species
UACGUAGGCAGCAAGCGUUGUUCGGAAUUACUGGGCGUAAAGGGCGCGUAGGCGGCCGAUCAAGUCAGAUGUGAAAGUCCUGGGCUUAACCUGGGGACUGCAUUUGAUACUGAUUGGCUUGAAUGCAGGAGAGGAUAGCGGAAUUCCCAGUGUAGAGGUGAAAUUCGUAGAUAUUGGGAAGAACACCGGUGGCGGAGGCGGCUAUCUGGACUGUGAUUGACGCUGAGGCGCGAAAGCGUGGGGAGCAAACAGG